rnacentral:lncRNA from 1 species
GCAGCUUCUCGUACUGCAGCCGAACUUCCUCCUUCAGUUGGUUCACUUUCUCCUGCGAGUACAGAGGGCAGGAGUGGGCAGGCAGUGACCCAGGACAGGACCUCUAAAAGAAUCAGGCCUGGGAGACCUUGCCCUGCCCCCAGAAGCACCAAGAGGCACAGGAAUCUGCUGCCAGCCCAAGGGUCAGAGCCCGACAGCACACACAGCAUGAGUGGGCAGGCGCAGGGGCACCUGGCACAAAGCUGCGCACGCACAUGGGAAUACCUUGCCACCUGAGCCCCGAGCCCGCCUCAGGGCCAACUCCUGCUACAGACAGCGCCUGGGAGAACAGUGGGAGCUGCUGCCGCUUCAAGCCUGGGAAACUGGAAGGAAGAUGGGAAAUACCUGCCUGCCGUCCCCUUCACGACCCCACCCCAGUUCACCGAAUGAGCAAAUCAGGUUGCCAAGACACUGGAAAAUGCUGGAAAACAGGGAGCAGAGGAAGCAAGGCCCAGACCCCCCACCACCAGCAGCCUCCUUUCCAUCCCAACCCCCACCUGCCUCCCCAGGGAAUGGCUAAGAGCCAAGGCCCCACUUCCCACCUGGGAAAAACCCAUAGCUGAGAUCCGACCAGAUUUCCCAGCUCAGUUCAGAGCAAGUACUCUCUGCGCAGGCAGGUGGGCUGGAGGCACCUUACACAUGCCACCGCCCCAUCCCCCCACAGCAGUGCAUGGCCUGGACUGCGUACACUGGAGCAUGCAGGAGCAGAGCAGAGUGGAACGUGGCCUGGGCUAGAAGCUCUGGAGGCCCCAGGCCACCAGGGAGACUGGGACUAGGUGGGGCCCAGGGAGGACCUUCACACCCCCAGCCCUGCCUGUCGGGCCUCAGGCCUUUGGUGAUCUGCCCGGGGCCUAUGAGGACAAAAGCAUGAAGAAUCAGGAGCCGCCAUUCCCACCCUCCACCACCUGGGCCCCCACUCCUCAGCUUUGCCGCUGCUUCCUCUGACUCCCCUCCCGGCCUGGAGCAGCGAACCCUGAGCCCCUACAUUCCUGCCCCAGGAAAGCCUCAUGUCCCUCUGGAGACUGACUGGCCAGGCCAGCUGCCAUUUUUGAUGCCAGACUAGACUGGGCAGACGGGUGAGGCUUGGGGACUCUGGGCUGUAUAAAAGUUAAUAAAUAAUAAUAAUAAAACCCUCAAGUCAACCUUGAAGAGAAACAAGGUCAGGAGGAAACAGGGCCCCAGG